UACGUAGGGUGCAAGCGUUGUCCGGAAUUAUUGGGCGUAAAGAGCUCGUAGGCGGUCUGUCGCGUCGGCUGUGAAAACCCGAGGCUCAACCUCGGGCCUGCAGUCGAUACGGGCAAACUAGAGUACUGCAGGGGAGACUGGAAUUCCUGGUAUAGCGGUGAAAUGCGCAGAUAUCAGGAGGAACACCGGUGGCGAAGGCGGGUCUCUGGGCAGUAACUGACGCUGAGGAGCGAAAGCGUGGGGAGCGAACAGG
rnacentral:rRNA from 1 species